UUCAUAACAACAAACCUACAACAAUAACAACCUCUCAUCCCUCUUUUUUCUUUUUUCUCUCUCACGGCCGAUUUUUCGUUUUCUCCAUUAAUGUGGAGAUUAUAAAGCUAUUAAGGGACAUCUCUCUCUCGGUUGUUCCAUGGAGAUACAAAUAUUUGCAUGCAUGUGAAUGUUUUGAUGAGUUGUUAUUAUGUGAGGAGGCGAGUGAUCGAUGUUGUUGACAGAAGAUAGAGAGCACUGACGAUGAAAUGCAUGAUGGGACUCUGCAUCUCACUCCUUUGUGCUCUCUAGUCUUCUGUCAUCAUCACCUUCAGCCCCUCAAUUCAUUUUCUCUGCUUCAUAUCUACAUUUCUGUAUACAAAUAUAUGUAUAUAUAUAUUCUAACAUUUCACUGCAACUUCUACCCACUGGAGCAGUCAGUUUUAGGCGGCCAGCUUUAUAUUUUAGCCUUCUCCAAAUACAUAAUGUUCCAGUUUCAUGUUUUCAUUGUCAUGGGAUUUUUGUUUGCAGAUUAUCAAAUUUAUGCAUAGUUAAUUAACCUAGAGGCUGGGGCUGGGGCUUCCUGACUGCAACUGCCAAAUUAAACUUAAGUCACUAAUACAAUUAUCUCAAGACCCUAGUCCUCUCUCUCUCUCUCUCUUUUCUUGGACGAGUCAAACAUCUUCUCAUUUCAUUCACUAAUAUUACAUACCCAAUCCACAAAAUACGAAAAUCUGAUUUACAUCAAAAUUCUUUUCACCAUAGAUCUCUUUUAGCUCAAUUAUCGUCCUUGAAUUUCCAUAUAUAUAUAUUUGUUUUGUCAAAUAUAUAAAAUUAUUUGUGAUCUUCCACUAAUAACUUAAGUUUUUUUAUAUUAUAUAAAAGAAAUCUAUUACUAAAAAGUUUAGAGUUCGAUCAUUGAUCAAUCCCAUUUUAUUGACAAAAAAAUUUCAAACAAUUACACAGUUUUUGAAGAUCAAUCGAGUAGAGGGUUAUCUAAGAGACUUACAAAUUUUUAUAUUUACUAAUAGUCUAAAUUUUUGGAUAGAAUCUAGUUGAAUGAAAUUAUACAGGUUUUAGAGAUCUCUCAAGUACUAUUAAAUUAUUAAUCCGAAUUAAUCUCAUUUAUUGGUAUAUUACUGGGUUCUAUUUUAUGAUAGCAAGUCAACAAAAACUAAGGGCUUAGGCAUUGGAUUCUAAGCAUCGCAUUCCAGAUUGCCACCACAUGUGUACACCGAACCAGUUGAUUGAUUUUCUGAAAUUGAUCGUAGAAGAAUUGCGUAGGAAAAGAAAAAUACAAGAAAGCCAAAGCUGGAGAAAUGCCUUUCCUCUUGAACCACGAAAAGCAAAAAGCUACAGUGUAUUGAGCUUUCAUGAAUUAAGAGCUAUAAAAUAAUAACAAGAACAAAAAGAAAGAUUGGAAACACAUCUCUUCUUCAAUUGAUCAUGUAGGACCGCAAAGAUUUUCUGUCAGAAUCUCUAUUAUCAGUUAGCUGUUCAAGAAUGCGAGAAAUGAAGAGAGAGGUUGAUGAUAGGAAUGUACACAAAGAGAAAACCUAACUUAAAAAUUGAUAGUAUGGCUCCUUAAUAUGGGCAUGUACCCAAAAUAAGAAAAGAAAGAGUGCAAGGAGUGUACCAUUAAAUGAGGUGUGUGUAAUGAAAUGAGCGUAAAAUAAUUAUAUUGCGGUGGCAGUAUGAAAUGUGUUGUAGUAUAAAUAUUUUAUACUAAAGUUUUUUUAAUAUAAGAAAAGUUUUUUUCUGAA